AACGCUGGCGGCGUGCCUAAUACAUGCAAGUCGAACGGUCUUUUCUAUGGAAGCUUGCUUCCACUGAGAAGAUAGUGGCGAACGGGUGAGUAACACGUGGGUAACCUGCCCAUAAGAGGGGGGAUAACAUCCGGAAACGGGUGCUAAUACCGCAUAGUUUUCUUGAUCGCAUGAUCGGGAAAGGAAAGACGGCCUUUGUGCUGUCGCUUAUGGAUGGACCCGCGGCGUAUUAGUUAGUUGGUGAGGUAACGGCUCACCAAGACGAUGAUACGUAGCCGACCUGAGAGGGUGAUCGGCCACAUUGGGACUGAGACACGGCCCAAACUCCUACGGGAGGCAGCAGUAGGGAAUCUUCCGCAAUGGACGAAAGUCUGACGGAGCAACGCCGCGUGAGUGAAGAAAGGUUUUCGGAUCGUAAAACUCUGUUGUCAGAGAAGAACAAGUUGGAGAGUAACUGCUCCAGCCUUGACGGUAUCUGACCAGAAAGCCACGGCUAACUACGUGCCAGCAGCGGC
rnacentral:rRNA from 1 species